AUCAUUAUUACCGCCAUUACGCAAUUGGCGGGUUAGCCGACGUCCACCGAACCCGCCCUGGAGGCGGGUUCU
rfam:Pseudomonas knackmussii B13 complete genome